AACGAACGCUGGCGGCAUGCCUAACACAUGCAAGUCGAACGAAGUCUUCGGACUUAGUGGCGCACGGGUGCGUAACGCGUGGGAAUCUGCCCUUGGGUGCGGAAUAACUUCUCGAAAGGGAUGCUAAUACCGCAUAAUGUCGUAAGACCAAAGAUUUAUCGCCCAAGGAUGAGCCCGCGUAAGAUUAGCUAGUUGGUGGGGUAAAAGCCUACCAAGGCGACGAUCUUUAGCUGGUCUGAGAGGAUGAUCAGCCACACUGGGACUGAGACACGGCCCAGACUCCUACGGGAGGCAGCAGUGGGAAUAUUGGACAAUGGGCGAAAGCCU
rnacentral:rRNA from 1 species